GCAUACAUGGCUGAGCGGUCGAAAGCGGCAGACUCAUAAUCUGUUUCCGAAAAGGACAUCACAGGUUCGAACCCUGUUGUAUGCA
rnacentral:tRNA from 1 species